rnacentral:rRNA from 1 species
GACGAACGCUGGCGGCGUGCUUCAUACAUGCAAGUCGAACGAGAAUCGGUAGCUUGCUAUCGAGGAAAGUGGCGGACGGGUGAGUAAUAUGUAGAAAAUCUGCCCUAGAGCGGGGGACAACAGCUGGAAACGGUUGCUAAUACCCCAUAUGAGCGUACUUGAGAUAGUAUUCUUGAAAACUCCGGUGCUCUAGGAUGAGUCUGCAUCUGAUUAGCUAGUUGGGGGUGUAAUGGACCACCAAGGCGACGAUCAGUAGCUGGUUUGAGAGGAUGAUCAGCCACAAUGGGACUGAGACACGGCCCAUACUCCUACGGGAGGCAGCAGUAGGGAAUUUUGCGCAAUGGGGGAAACCCUGACGCAGCAACGCCGCGUGAUUGAUUAAGCCCUUCGGGUGUAAAGAUCUGUCAGUGGGGACGAAACGUUGACGGUACCCACAGAGAAGCAUCGGCUAACUCCGUGCCAGCAGCCGC